rnacentral:rRNA from 1 species
GUUAGGAAUAUUGGACAAUGGGCGCAAGCCUGAUCCAGCCAUGCCGCGUGAGUGAUGAAGGCCUUCGGGUUGUAAAGCUCUUUAGUCCACGAAUAUAAUGACUGUAGUGGAAGAAUAAGCCCCGGCUAACUUCGUGCCAGCGGCCGCGGUAAUACGAAGGGGGCGAGCGUUAUUCGGAAUCACUGGGCGUAAAGCGUGCGUAGGCUGUUUUGUAAGUCAGAAGUGAAAGCCCAGGGCUUAACCCUGGAAUUGCUUUUGAAACUACAAGACUCGAAUUCGGGAGAGGAUAGCGGAAUUGUCAGUGUAGCAGUGAAAUGCGUAGAUAUUGACAGGAACACCAGUGGCGCAAGCGGCUAUCUGGACCGAUAUUGACGCUGAGGCACGAAAGCGUGGGGAGCAAACAGGAUUAGAUACCCGUGUAGUCC